rnacentral:rRNA from 1 species
CGCGGCCUAUCAGCUUGUUGGUGAGGUAAUGGCUCACCAAGGCUUCGACGGGUAGCCGGCCUGAGAGGGCGACCGGCCACACUGGGACUGAGAUACGGCCCAGACUCCUACGGGAGGCAGCAGUGGGGAAUAUUGCACAAUGGGCGCAAGCCUGAUGCAGCAACGCCGCGUGCGGGAUGACGGACUUCGGGUUGUAAACCGCUUUCAGUAGGGACGAAGCUAACGUGACGGUACCUACAGAAGAAGGACCGGCUAACUACGUGCCAGCAGCCGCGGUGAUACGUAGGGUCCGAGCGUUGUCCGGAAUUAUUGGGCGUAAAGGGCUUGUAGGCGGUCCGUCGCGUCAGGAGUGAAAACUCGGGGCUUAACCCCGAGCCCGCUUUUGAUACGGGCGGACUAGAGGGAUGCAGGGGAGAACGGAAUUCCUGGUGGAGCGGUGGAAUGCGCAGAUAUCAGGAGGAACACCGGUGGCGAAGGCGGUUCUCUGGGCAUCACCUGACGCUGAGAAGCGAAAGCGUGGGGAGCAAACAGGCUUAGAUACCCUGGUAGUCCACGCCGUAAACGGUGGGCACUAGGUGUGGGGGACAUUCCACGUUCUCCGUGCCGAAGCUAACGCAUUAAGUGCCCCGCCUGGGGAGUACGG